rnacentral:rRNA from 1 species
UACGUAGGGUGCGAGCGUUAAUCGGAAUUACUGGGCGUAAAGGGUGCGCAGGCGGUUAUAUAAGACAGAUGUGAAAUCCCCGGGCUCAACCUGGGACUGCGUUUGUGACUGUAUGACUAGAGUACGGUAGAGAGGGGUGGAAUUCCUGGUGUAGCAGUGAAAUGCGUAGAUAUCAGGAGGAACAUCGAUGGCGAAGGCAGCCCCUUGGACCUGUACUGACGCUCAUGCACGAAAGCGUGGGGAGCAAACAGG